rnacentral:rRNA from 1 species
GACGAACGCUGGCGGCGUGCUUAACACAUGCAAGUCGAACGAAGAGCGAUGGAAGCUUGCUUCUAUCAAUCUUAGUGGCGAACGGGUGAGUAACGCGUAAUCAACCUGCCCUUCAGAGGGGGACAACAGUUGGAAACGACUGCUAAUACCGCAUACGAUCUAACCUCGGCAUCGAGGAAAGAUGAAAGGUGGCCUCUAUGUAUAAGCUAUCACUGAAGGAGGGGAUUGCGUCUGAUUAGCUAGUUGGAGGGGUAACGGCCCACCAAGGCGAUGAUCAGUAGCCGGUCUGAGAGGAUGAACGGCCACAUUGGGACUGAGACACGGCCCAGACUCCUACGGGAGGCAGCCGUGGGGAAUCUUCCGCAAUGGACGAAAGUCUGACGGAGCAACGCCGCGUGAGUGAUGACGGCCUUCGGGUUGUAAAGCUCUGUUAAUCGGGACGAAAGGCCUUCUUGCGAAUAGUGAGAAGGAUCGACGGUACCGGAAUAGAAAGCCACGGCUAACUACGUG